CAAAGGCUUGGUCCUGACUUUACUGUCAACUUUGGCUAAACUUACACAUGCAAGUCUCCGCACCCCCGUGAGAAUCCCCAUAGUCCUCUGCCCGAGAACAAGGAGCUGGUAUCAGGCACGUAACUAUACAGCCCAUGACACCUUGCUUAGCCACACCCUCAAGGGAACUCAGCAGUGAUAAACAUUAAGCCCUAAGCGAAAGCUUGACUUAGUUAUAAGCCAAGAGGGCCGGUAAAACUCGUGCCAGCCACCGCGGUUAUACGAGAGGCCCAAGUUGAUAGGUAACGGCGUAAAGAGUGGUUAUGGAAAAAUACAAAAAUAAAGCCGAACACCUUCAGAGCUGUUAUACGUUUCCGAAGAUAUGAAGCCCUACCACGAAAGUGGCUUUACCUCUCCUGACCCCACGAAAGCUGAGGAACAAACUGGGAUUAGAGACCCCACUAUG
rnacentral:rRNA from 1 species